rnacentral:misc_RNA from 1 species
UUUCCGUAGGUCGCUAGAGUUCAGCCUACCAAAGCAAACCUUUCAAAACUGCUAGUCUCUCCCCGAGGCGACACGCUCAAUGUUGCGGAGAGGCCCUCUUUUCAGAGGGUAAUCCGCAGCCGGCCCCCUAAAGGCUGGUUCAGAGACUCAAUGAGUGUGGGUUUGGCCUUUUGGCCAGGCUUAAGAUAGAGCCCGUCCCUGUAGGCAACUGCGGGGGAUGAACGGAACCUGCGGAAGGAUCAUUAAAGAAUCGGUGACCCUCGCGGUCCCAUUCUCACCCUUUGUAUACCAAGCUUCAGUUGCUUUGGCUGGCCUUCGCGGGCCGGCCAGAGGACUCAAACCCUUGAAUCUUUGCUGUCUGAGUACUAUAUAAUAGUUAAAACCUUCAACAACGGAUCUCUUGGUUCUG